rnacentral:rRNA from 1 species
GCAGUGGGGAAUAUUGCACAAUGGGCGCAAGCCUGAUGCAGCCAUGCCGCGUGUAUGAAGAAGGCCUUCGGGUUGUAAAGUACUUUCAGUCGUGAGGGAAGGCAUUAACGUUAAUAGCGUUAGUGUUUGACGUUAGCGACAGAAGAAGCACCGGCUAACUCCGUGCCAGCAGCCGCGGUAAUACGGAGGGUGCGAGCGUUAAUCGGAAUUACUGGGCGUAAAGCGCAUGCAGGUGGUUUGUUAAGUCAGAUGUGAAAGCCCGGGGCUCAACCUCGGAACCGCAUUUGAAACUGGCAGGCUAGAGUACUGUAGAGGGGGGUAGAAUUUCAGGUGUAGCGGUGAAAUGCGUAGAGAUCUGAAGGAAUACCAGUGGCGAAGGCGGCCCCCUGGACAGAUACUGACACUCAGAUGCGAAAGCGUGGGGAGCAAACAGGAUUAGAUACCCUGGUAGUCCACGCCGUAAACGAUGUCUACUUGGAGGUUGUGGCCUUGAGCCGUGGCUUUCGGAGCUAACGCGUUAAGUAGACCGCCUGGGGAGUACGGUCGCAAGAUUAAAACUCAAAUGAAUUGACGGGGGCCCGCACAAGCGGUGGAGCAUGUGGUUUAAUUCGAUGCAACGCGAAGAACCUUACCUACUCUUGACAUCCAGAGAA